rnacentral:rRNA from 1 species
GGACUACCGGGGUUUCUAAUCCCGUUCGCUCCCCUGGCUUUCGCGCCUCAGCGUCAGAUGAGGUCCAGCGGCCCGCUUUCGCCACCGGCGUUCCUUCCGAUAUCUACGCAUUUCACCGCUCCACCGGAAGUUCCGGCCGCCCCUACCUCCCUCGAGCAUACCAGUAUCCAAGGCACUUUUCCGGUUGAGCCGAAAGCUUUCACCCCGGACUUGGUAUGCCGCCUACGCGCCCUUUAAGCCCAGUGAUUCCGAACAACGUUCGCACGGUUCGUCUUACCGCGGCUGCUGGCAC